UGGGGAAUCUUGCGCAAUGGGCGAAAGCCUGACGCAGCGACGCCGCGUGCGGGAUGACGGCCUUCGGGUUGUAAACCGCUUUCAGCAGGGACGAGGCCGCAAGGUGACGGUACCUGCAGAAGAACGCCCCGGCUAACUACGUGCC
rnacentral:rRNA from 1 species